CGGCCUCGCGCCUCUUUUGUGUGGCUUCGGCGCGCCGGGCUCCGCCGGGUGGAGUGAAGCUCGGGGCGGCCGGACUGGCGGCUGUUGCUAAGAGACCGGAGCCAUGACACAGGGAGAUUGCGGCAGGAUGGCAGUCGCUACCGGCCCGGAUCGGCGGCUCGGGGGCGCCCCCGCCCGCUCCUCCGGGCCCCCCUCCGCGACCGUCCCCGCGUCUCCGCUGCUUUUCCAGCCCGCCGGCCGCCCGUCCCUUCGGAAGCCAGGCGCCUGGGAGCUGGGGCGCGAGGGCAGGCGCGGAGGCAUCGCCGCGGGGCGCAGGGCGCCCCACCUUCCCGCCCGGGUCGGCUGGUUCGUCGCUGCCCACGCUGGCAGCUCGCUGCUUUCCCCAACUACCUGUCUGCGUAGCCCGAGGGGCCCCCAGGCCCGGCCCGCCUCUCCCGGGCGUCCCCCACCGCACCCGGGAGCGCUCUCCGGGGAGCCCGGCGGUGCCCCGUGCCUCUCCCCCUGGGCCUCUCUCUGCGCUUUUGUGGCCUCCACCCCGCGACGCGACACAGCCUUGGCGGAGUCACCCCUCCCACCCGGGAGUUUGCAGUGUGGACGCCCGCCCGCGAGCGAGCACAGACGCUGCUGGCUAGAGGGACAGGUGCUUGCCUCUGCCUCCAAUCCCUAGGGCCCCACAAAUGAAUCUCUGAAGAGAGAGAACUCAGCUUCACUUUCAAGAACUACGGUUUGGAAAGCAAAGAUAAAGUCAAACCAGUGUGGAGGUCAUGACCGGGCCCCUUUCUUGUGCUUAUGAGAGAUAUCCAAGAAGUUCAAACCCAAGCCCUUUCAACUCAAAGCCCAGGAUAAAGAAAUAAUACAAAGUCUAAGCGCCUUCCUUAGAGCACACCUGACAGGGUUUUCUACCUCUGUGCCAGCCUGAAUUUUCUACUGUUUUCCAUAAACAACGUCAAAGUGGGAUUCUGUGCCUUGCAGAGUAAUUUGAGGCCUGAGAUGAAGAUCUAGAAAGGGCGGCAGGCUUGAAAGCAGAUCAAAGAUGAGCUUGGAAAGGGCUUUGCCGAGAGGGCGACCUCAGUGGAGCCGCCAGGAAGAGCCCAUAGCUAUGUUUCGCCUGUGUUCCCAAAGUGCAUCCAGUGUCCACCCUGACAUUCAUAUUGUUUUGUAUAAUCUACGGUGUGGUGGACAGAUGACUUUUCCUACUGAGAGCUCAAUAAACUAUAACUUACUUCUCUGAUCUUUCAAAAUUAAUUGUGAUGGGAGAGUGGUGUCUGAAAACGAUCAAGACGUAUGACGUAUCUCAAAUAUACACGGAUAAAAGAGAAGCAUCACUGAGAGAAGAGCUGCUUUGGGUAUGAAGCAGAAAAGAGGAGCUAGCUUUGGAAAGUAGCAGAUGACAAGAGCCCAGGAUCUUGGUACCUCCUGGGACCACAACUGAUUCACCCAAGAGCAUUUUGUUAGACACCUCUUUCAGGUGUGCACACAAAAGCCCUGUCUCCUGGUGGGUAGAG
rnacentral:lncRNA from 1 species